UUGAACGCUGGCGGCAGGCCUAACACAUGCAAGUCGAGCGGUAGCACAGAGAGCUUGCUCUCGGGUGACGAGCGGCGGACGGGUGAGUAAUGUCUGGGAAACUGCCUGAUGGAGGGGGAUAACUACUGGAAACGGUAGCUAAUACCGCAUAAUGUCGCAAGACCAAAGUGGGGGACCUUCGGGCCUCAUGCCAUCAGAUGUGCCCAGAUGGGAUUAGCUAGUAGGUGGGGUAACGGCUCACCUAGGCGACGAUCCCUAGCUGGUCUGAGAGGAUGACCAGCCACACUGGAACUGAGACACGGUCCAGACUCCUACGGGAGGCAGCAGUGGGGAAUAUUGCACAAUGGGCGCAAGCCUGAUGCAGCCAUGCCGCGUGUGUGAAGAAGGCCUUCGGGUUGUAAAGCACUUUCAGCGGGGAGGAAGGCGUUAAGGUUAAUAACCUUGGCGAUUGACGUUACCCGCAGAAGAAGCACCGGCUAACUCCGUGCCAGCAGCCGCGGUAAUACGGAGGGUGCAAGCGUUAAUCGGAAUUACUGGGCGUAAAGCGCACGCAGGCGGUCUGUCAAGUCGGAUGUGAAAUCCCCGGGCUCAACCUGGGAACUGCAUUCGAAACUGGCAGGCUAGAGUCUUGUAGAGGGGGGUAGAAUUCCAGGUGUAGCGGUGAAAUGCGUAGAGAUCUGGAGGAAUACCGGUGGCGAAGGCGGCCCCCUGGACAAAGACUGACGCUCAGGUGCGAAAGCGUGGGGAGCAAACAGGAUUAGAUACCCUGGUAGUCCACGCCGUAAACGAUGUCGAUUUGGAGGUUGUGCCCUUGAGGCGUGGCUUCCGGAGCUAACGCGUUAAGUCGACCGCCUGGGGAGUACGGCCGCAAGGUUAAAACUCAAAUGAAUUGACGGGGGCCCGCACAAGCGGUGGAGCAUGUGGUUUAAUUCGAUGCAACGCGAAGAACCUUACCUGGUCUUGACAUCCACAGAACUUUCCAGAGAUGGAUUGGUGCCUUCGGGAACUGUGAGACAGGUGCUGCAUGGCUGUCGUCAGCUCGUGUUGUGAAAUGUUGGGUUAAGUCCCGCAACGAGCGCAACCCUUAUCCUUUGUUGCCAGCGGUCCGGCCGGGAACUCAAAGGAGACUGCCAGUGAUAAACUGGAGGAAGGUGGGGAUGACGUCAAGUCAUCAUGGCCCUUACGACCAGGGCUACACACGUGCUACAAUGGCAUAUACAAAGAGAAGCGACCUCGCGAGAGCAAGCGGACCUCAUAAAGUAUGUCGUAGUCCGGAUUGGAGUCUGCAACUCGACUCCAUGAAGUCGGAAUCGCUAGUAAUCGUAGAUCAGAAUGCUACGGUGAAUACGUUCCCGGGCCUUGUACACACCGCCCGUCACACCAUGGGAGUGGGUUGCAAAAGAAGUAGGUAGCUUAACCUUCGGGAGGGCGCUUACCACUUUGUGAUUCAUGACUGGGGUG
rnacentral:rRNA from 1 species